UACGUAGGGUGCGAGCGUUGUCCGGAAUUAUUGGGCGUAAAGAGCUCGUAGGCGGCCUGUUAAGUCGGACGUGAAAUCCCUCGGCUCAACCGGGGAACUGCGUCCGAUACUGGCGGGCUUGAAUUCGGGAGAGGGAUGUGGAAUUCCAGGUGUAGCGGUGAAAUGCGUAGAUAUCUGGAGGAACACCGGUGGCGAAGGCGGCAUCCUGGACCGACAUUGACGCUGAGGCGCGAAAGCCAGGGGAGCAAACGGGG
rnacentral:rRNA from 1 species